rnacentral:rRNA from 1 species
AUGUGUUUGUGUAUGUUCUCAGUUAUUUUUUGCACACAAGGUGUUUGUGUGUUUGUCCGAGCCAGUUUCAGUCACAGAUCCUUAAGGAUGCCAUCUCAGGUCAUGGAUCCACUGUGGCCACUUCGUCCUUCACUGAGGACCUUCUCAUCCCCACAGAGAUCAGAGGUAACCCACACAGUUGGAAAUAGUUGCUCAAGUUCUUGCUUCAACAAGAAAGGAGAGCAGAGUUCAGGGCAUGUUCAGCUCCAUCCAUGCAUCAAGGGAAAUAUAUACGAGGCAAAGGAAUUACGUGUUCUGCUAGAUGACAUAGUACAAGGUUCAGCAGCGACGACAUGA